CACCAACAAGGACAGCUCACCAGUGGGAACUGAUAGAUAAGACUGCUGAUGUGCUCUCAUCCAUUGAAGAGCUGACCAGAAAUGUGAACAGAAAGACUGCACUGAUGGGAUCCCUGCCAUAACAGAUGUGUUCUGUCCAGUGAAGGCAGUGGAGAAGCCCUACACUGAUCUUGAACCUGUGCCACGCUACUAGAAACCGGCUACAAGGAUGGGCAGCUGUUUUCGCAAAGUCAGCCAACCUCUUGCUUCCAAAUGACCCUUAUCCAGAAGUAUUCGUGAGUGCCUCAUCAACAGAAACUAAAGUGGAGACCUACCUCUCAGAGAAAAACGCACACAUAAGAAAAGCCGACCCACUUCAGUACUGGGAAGAACAUCCUAAUCUGUUUCCCUCUAUGGCUGCUGUUGCGAUCCCAGUGUGCCCCCUGUAGCUCUGUGGACAGUUUUGGAUUUGUUUACAUCUCACCCAA